rnacentral:lncRNA from 1 species
AACUUUGAACCCUAGAAAUCCCAAUCAACCCAAAAUCAGUAUGAAACAAACAAUUAUUAUAUAGGAAUAGUCAUCAACAAUAAUACGACUACAAUCACACAAGAAAAACAAAAGAAGAAAGCCUAAGGGCACCAAAUUGGCGAACAAGAAACUCUGGUAUGAUGGUGGGGACUCUAGAACGGUGGCUCCUUUUUCAAGUACAAUACUUUGUUAUACUUCUCUCUGUUUCGUGCUUCUGAAUUCUUUCCUCCUUCUAUUCUACUUUCCUUCUUCUUCUUCAAGUAUCCCUGAGUUUUAUUGUUAUUAUUACUCCGGUAAGGUUGUGCGUAGAAGGCCAGGCUCUGAGUAAUCUCAGGUUCUAGGGAUGAACCUGAGAAACUCCCUAACUUUUAGCUUUGGUGUGAGGUGUGGUGAGAUAGAUUUUGAUCAUACUAGGAUUAAGGUAAUUGUUUCAUGUCCUUUAGUGAUAUUGAAGUUGGUGAUUUAUAGUGUGAAAUGGGUGAGGGAUUGAGGAGAAAAUAGAGGGAAAACGUGAGGUUGUUAUGAGGACUUUUGUAGGGAGAAAGAGUGACUUGUGAGGAUGGGAUUAAGGGUUAAGAUGAUUUUGUUUGGAUGAAUUACUUGUGUUUGUUGAAAUUGUUAUGAAAUGAAGAUGAAAUUUGGUUUUGUUUCAAAUGAAAAUGUAAGUAUGUUUUGCAUAGUAUGUGAUUUUGGUGUGGUCCUCAAACUUCUUCAUGUAUGUACGUACGUAUGUAUGUAUCGUGUAUGGUUUGUAUGAGUCACACUUUUCUUGUUCAGUUGAUGCUUACACUUCAUUUCUGUUUGUUUUGGCAAAGUUGAUGUAUGUGGUAUGAUGGUGAAUGCUCACGCCCUGGUCAUACUCUCUUUUGUAGGAUGUCUUGUAUUGAUGAUGAGGUGAUGGUGGAUAUACAUGAUGAUGAUGAUGGGCACAAGAAAGGGAAGAUGAUGAGCACAUAAAGAGCACGUGGAAAAGGAAUGUCGUCAAGUUUGGAGUUCUCGUUGAAUUUUAAUUUCUUCUUUUUUGUAAUAUUUUUUAGUACUGGAAUAUAACAUCUAAAUAAUAACAAACUUAUUCUACCAUCUUUUUUGCAUUUUUUAAUACCAAUAUUUUUAUAAAGUGACUUAUUAAUAAAAACAAACUUAUUUUUAACAUUUUUUUCAUGGUCUAAAAUAGACAUGUGAUGUAAGUAAAUACCAAAUGUAUUCUUUGUAUUAAUAUGAUAUCUCAAAAAAUAAUGAAAAGAAAAAUAAUUUAAGUAAACUCCAUUUAAAUGAC